UUAAGUUGAUUUCUUCGGAUUGAUUCUUGACUGACUGAGCGGCGGACGGGUGAGUAACGCGUGGGUGACCUGCCCCAUACCGGGGGAUAACAGCUGGAAACGGCUGCUAAUACCGCAUAAGACCACAGAGCCGCAUGGCUCGGUGGGAAAAACUCCGGUGGUACAGGAUGGGCCCGCGUCUGAUUAGCUGGUUGGCAGGGUAACGGCCUACCAAGGCAACGAUCAGUAGCCGACCUGAGAGGGUGACCGGCCACAUUGGGACUGAGACACGGCCCAAACUCC
rnacentral:rRNA from 1 species